rnacentral:rRNA from 1 species
CCUACGGGAGGCAGCAGUGAGGAAUAUUGGUCAAUGGUCGAGAGGCUGAACCAGCCAAGUCGCGUGAGGGAAGACGGCCCUACGGGUUGUAAACCUCUUUUGUCGGGGAGCAAAGCGAGUCACGUGUGACGCAUUGAGAGUACCCGAAGAAAAAGCAGCGGCUAACUCCGUGCCAGCAGCCGCGGUAAUACGGAGGAUGCGAGCGUGAUCCGGAUUUAUUGGGUUUAAAGGGUGCGCAGGCGGAGGUGCAAGUCAGCGGUCAAAUUGCGGGGCUCAACCCCGUCCUGCCGUUGAAACUGCUUCCCUUGAGUGCGCGAGAAGUAUGCGGAAUGCGUGGUGUAGCGGU